rnacentral:lncRNA from 1 species
UUCUUUCCUUCUAGCCUUAGGUGGCCUACCAGGCAUGUUUGUGAUUUCUGGUGGCUCAAUAGUGGGGUUUGUAGAAACUAGCCACAUCUCCAUGUUUGUGAGUGGUUCAAUAACAUUGGCAUAAGUCCUCAAGUAAGUUUCCUUACUAUAGCAGUUGUCUAUAUAGUCAUAAAGAGAAAACUUCUUAAAGUAUAAUGCAGCCACAACAUGUGCACAUGGUAUGCCCCUUAACUGCCACACCCUACAACUAUAAG